rnacentral:rRNA from 1 species
AACGUAGGAGACGAACGUUAUCCGGAGUUACUGGGCGUAAAGGGCGUGUAGGCGGUUUGUUAAGUCUGGCGUGAAAGCUCCCGGCUAAACCGGGAGAGGUCGUUGGAUACUGGCGAACUAGAGGAUGGUAGAGGCGUGUGGAAUUCCGGGUGUAGUGGUGAAAUGCGUAGAGAUCCGGAGGAACACCAGUGGCGAAGGCGACACGCUGGGCCAUACCUGACGCUAAAGCGCGAACAGCAUGGGGAGCAAACGGG